UGCUGCAUGGUUGUCGUCAGCUCGUGCCGUGAGGUGUCGGGUUAAGUCCCAUAACGAGCGCAACCCUUAUCGUUAGUUGCCAGCUGGUAAAAGGCAGGGGGACUCUAGCGAAACUGCCACCGUAAGGUGAGAGGAAGGUGGGGAUGACGUCAAAUCAGCACGGCCCUUAUGUCCAGGGCUACACACGUGUUACAAUGGCCGGCACAGAGGGCAGCUACCUGGUGACAGGAUGCUAAUCUCGAAAACCGGUCUCAGUUCGGAUCGAAGUCUGCAACUCGACUUCGUGAAGCUGGAUUCGCUAGUAAUCGCGCAUCAGCCAUGGCGCGGUGAAUACGUUCCCGGGCCUU
rnacentral:rRNA from 1 species